rnacentral:lncRNA from 1 species
CAGCCUCAGGAGGAAUGUUUGGGGGCAGCUGACCUGAACAGACUGAUCCGUCUGCCUGGAAGAUUCUUCUAACUCAGCUGGAGAACGGCUGCUCAAUAAUGCAGGUAUUUUUCUGUAUUUACUUGUCACUUGCUACCCACUUGGAUGUUAAAGUGACCAGGAGCCACACCUGAGGCCUCUCGUGAAUGAACGGAGCUACUUCCUAUGUCAGGUUUUGGGGUUCCACAGGCAUGAGCAGGCCGUGGGUCAGGCUGGUUCCGGCAUGGCUGUGGUUGGCCCACUUCCACAGACCACCACCGCAUGCUGUCCACCUAUCCACUAGGGAUGGCUGCAGUGGGGACCAGGACAAGAGGACAAAUGAGGCCCUGUGUGUCUGAACACUGACCACUUGUAAAUCAGCUGCUAGAUACAAUGUGCUCAUAUACAAUAUGCUUAUCCUCUUGCCUUGGAAAAUACGUUUUCAAAUGAGAGAAAUCACAAAAUACGUGCAAAGCAUGAUUUGCAGGGAAGUCAUCAACAUAUCAAAAGAGGAUCAGAUUUAAUGAUUCUUACGCACGUCUGGCAUUCUAUUCUGAGGGGGUAGCAAUGUUAGGAUUUGCAAAAAAAUAAAGACAGAAUAAUUCAUAAAUUAUAUAUUUAUCCUAUGAAAUAUUUUGCCUUAAAAAAAAUAGAAUCACUCCAUAUCCUGU